rnacentral:rRNA from 1 species
GUUAGGAAUAUUGGACAAUGGGCGAAAGCCUGAUCCAGCCAUGCCGCGUGAACGAUGAAGGCCUUCGGGUUGUAAAGUUCUUUAGCCGAUGAUUAUAAUGACUGUAGUCGGAAAAUAAGCCCCGGCUAACUUCGUGCCAGCAGCCGCGGUAAUACGAAGGGGGCGAGCGUUAUUCGGAAUCACUGGGCGUAAAGCGUGCGUAGGCGGUUUUGUAAGUUAGGAGUGAAAGCCCAGGGCUCAACCUUGUAAGUGCUCUUAAAACUGCAAGGCUCGAAUCUCGGAGAGGAUAGCGGAAUUUCCAGUGUAGCAGUGAAAUGCGUAGAUAUUGGAAGGAACACCAGUGGCGUAAGCGGCUAUCUGGACGAGUAUUGACGCUGAGGCACGAAAGCGUGGGGAUCAAACAGGAUUAGAAACCCUGGUAGUCC